rnacentral:lncRNA from 1 species
UUCUAAGUCUUAUUUUCAUGAUGACCUACAUCGCUUAAUCGUCCUAAUUAUCAUGAUAAACAUUAAAUUUAUUUAAUUCUCGAUUCAAAUGUUGAGCCAUUUUUCAAACCCUUUGUAAGUCGAUUGCUUUUAAGCAUCGCCAUCAACCUCACAUAAACCUGGAAAGGAAAUGGUCUCGCGACCAGAGAUUGCUAGGAUCGGGAGUCGGUUAUGCGAAGGGAAGGUAUUAGCACCCCUACGCAUCCGUCGUACUCGACGGGAUCCACGCUCAGAAAGAAUAGAAGAAAGCUUGCUAAGAAACUGCUCAAACACUGCACAAAACUGGAAUAAAACACAGAUGAACAAAGACGGAGAAAGCGGACUCGGCAGGAUGUCGCAUCCUGGGCCUACAUAGUUUGUCAGACACAAACAUCAGAGUCGACGUAGUUCGGGGGAAUGGGAAACGUGCUCGCUAGGACAUCGCAUCCUAUGCAUACGUAUCUUCUCUAACCAGAGUAAGAAUCAGAGCACUCGUAGCUCGGCUAAUGCACGCCGAAACAAAACGCUGAAAGAAGACGCUGAGACGUCAAAGCAAACACACAAUUGGAAACGGAAUGCCAAUCGUUGGGCUUACAUCCGACUCCGAACAAACAACCACCAACAGGAAACCGAAGGCCAAUCGUUGGACUUACAUCAGACUCCAAACAAUCAACAACCAACAGGAAACCGAAUGCCAAUCGCUGGACUUACAUCAGACUCCAAAAAAGAAACAGGAAACAGAUAGCCAAUCAAUGGUCUUACAUCUGAC